UUAAUUUGUUCUUCGUCUGAAAGAUUGGCCAACAAUUGUGAGAGAUUGGAACUGAUAUCUUUGCUUACUGAAAAGAUAAGUCGUCUCCUAUGGUGUUUUAGCUGUUAACCUUUCAUCUUGGAGGCUCUUGUAGUUAAUUAAGGAACAUUAGAAGAACUCGGGAUACCAUUAAAUUACGAAAGUAUAGAGCGUUGGUUGUAUUAGUCCUCAUUUGCCCCAGAAAGUAGCUGUGCCCAUGAUUCUAAAGAAAGCAUGAAAGUGCCUUUUUUCCGUUGGGAUCGAAGCUGUUAAAUUUUCAUCCCGGAUGCUCUUGUAGUUAAUUAAGGGAUGUUAGAAGAACUCCAGAUGCCAUUAAAUUGUGGAGCAUUGAUUGUGUUGGUUCUCAUUGACUCCAAAAAGUGACUGUUCCUAUGGUCAUAAAGAAUGCAUGAAAGUGCCUUUCCAUUGGGAACGGAGACAAUGUGCGGAAGAAAUGUGCUGCUGAGGGAGGGAUUUAUGACAAUAAACUGAUUGCCCCACAAAUGACGAGGGAUUGCAGUUAAUUUUGAUGCUACUGAAGCAACCGAUGCUUUUGAUGUCUUCACUUUGCAACAUUAUGUAGUCAACUUUUACCGUAACAACAGGAGGCAGUUGGAAAUUAAUUAAUUUGGAAGAGACUGGAACAACAGAUUGUUUGCAGUGGUAUCCCUCCUAGAUUUGGUUUGCUCAUCACACUGGUAGACUUUAGAACGCCAUUUCUACAAUUAAGGUCAUACAGUAACUGAGAGAGAAUUAAUGUUCAGUUUGUUUAUACUGAAAUAGGCAAUGUCUACAUGGGUGUGGUCUUUCGUGGAUUAUAUACUUGAUUUGCUAUUUCUUCUUCGCCUUGUAACAUCGUGCAGUUAAUUUUCAACUCAUGAGUGAGAGCAAGUGGAUAUUUGAAUUCCACUGAAGUAAGAAAUUCUCUGCUACGGUGUUCCUCUUGGAAUUGGUUUGCUUUUUGCACCUGUAAACUUUGGAACGUUACGUUCUACAAUUAAACAA
rnacentral:lncRNA from 1 species